CCCAAAAUUGCAUUCAAUUUGUCCUGUUGUGACCCUUUAUCACAGACCUUCUCCAAUGGUAGAAUGUUGGGUCUAUCUCGUAUAUUAUUUUGCUUAACAACCUGUAUAAUGAUUGCAUGAAACGCAAUCUAUCAAAUUGAAGAACAACCAGCGUAACUUCGUUAUUCUUGCUUAUUUCCAUGAUUAUGAGACCAUUUACACUCACUGU
rnacentral:lncRNA from 1 species